UACUCGUAUACUUGCUUGUUUCCAUUAGAAUAUCCCAGUCUUUCUGUUGACUUUGUGAGACUAAAUCUUAAAUGUUUCUUUUUUUGGUCAGUAAAUCUUGUUUCGCAUAUGUUUAAAUGGGUUGCAAGUUGAUGAUAUGUUGCUUUUAUUCUUGUCAAAAAGGUUUAGUGUUACUCUUUGAGAUUCAUGCUAAAUGAGAAAGGACCCAACUUCAAGCAGUUCAAACCCGGACUGCAGGAAGUAAUUGCAAACCCGGACUUCGGGAAGUAAUUGCAUCUCGGCCGCACAUCUCGGCAAUCAAUGGUAUCUAGAAUUUCAUAAGCUGAAUGAGAAAAGCUACGUUUAUAGCUUUCGAGUUGUGCUAUUGGAAUUAAUCACAGGAAAACCUGCAAUACUAAAACUCCCUGAAAACACUCUUUUGGCCAAGUGGAUUGUGCCUAUGGUAGAGAGAGAGUUGAAAUCAUGGAUUCGAGGUUGAAUAGUGAUUUUGACACCAAAUCCACUCGAAAGGCCUUGGGGAUAGCAAUGGCAUGUGUGGAACGCAAUUUAAAUCAAAGGAUGGUGAUGAGACAAGUUGUGGCAAAUUUAAGAGAGUGUUUGGAGAUGGAGAAAGCCCGUGUUAAGACUCGAAAGGAGAAUGAAGAGCACAAUUCUGCGUCGAGCAAUACAAAUUAUGUCAUAGUUGAAAGUUCGAUUGGUGGUCCUUCUGCAAGGUAGAUUAAGAGUAGUUUGUGAAUUUGUGUUAGAGAAUGCUUGUCGAGCGAUAAUCUUGAUUAUUGUUUGUGGGGCUUAUGUGUGAUUGAUUGGAGAGACAGGAGAAGAUGAGAGCAAAGGAGAUGGGAGCCAAGGUUGGAGGAGAGUCAAGUUGUCUGGUAUUUAGGUUUUUGGGUUGGGAGUUGGUUUAUUUGUGUGGCUAGGGUUGAACGAUUGUGUAUAAGUUGUAUGUGUAUAUAUUGAAUUUGGGGUUAAGUGUGUGUGAUUGAGAGGAGUGAAAUUAUGUAAAUUUUUUGGGGAAAAUUUCUUUUAUAUUCCUUCGAUUUUUACUC